rnacentral:rRNA from 1 species
UGGGGAAUUCUGGACAAUGGGCGAAAGCCUGAUCCAGCAAUGCCGCGUGUGUGAAGAAGGCCUUCGGGUUGUAAAGCACUUUUGUCCGGAAAGAAAAUCCUUGGCUCUAAUACAGUCGGGGGAUGACGGUACCGGAAGAAUAAGCACCGGCUAACUACGUGCCAGCAGCCGCGGUAAUACGUAGGGUGCAAGCGUUAAUCGGAAUUACUGGGCGUAAAGCGUGCGCAGGCGGUUUGCUAAGACCGAUGUGAAAUCCCCGGGCUCAACCUGGGAACUGCAUUGGUGACUGGCAGGCUAGAGUAUGGCAGAGGGGGGUAGAAUUCCACGUGUAGCAGUGAAAUGCGUAGAGAUGUGGAGGAAUACCGAUGGCGAAGGCAGCCCCCUGGGCCAAUACUGACGCUCAUGCACGAAAGCGUGGGGAGCAAACAGGAUUAGAUACCCUGGUAGUCCACGCCCUAAAACGAUGUCAACUAGUUGUUGGGGAUUCAUUUCCUUAGUAACGUAGCUAACGCGUGAAGUUGACCGCCUGGGGGAGUACGGUCGCAAGAUU